rnacentral:rRNA from 1 species
CCUACGGGAGGCAGCAGUGGGGAAUAUUGGGCCAUGGAGGCAACUCUUACCCCGCAAUGCCGCGUGAAUGAAGACGGUCUUCGGAUUGUAAAGUUCUUUAAUUGGGGACGAAAAAAAUGACGGUACCCAAGGAAUAAGCCCCGGCUAACUACGUGCCAGCAGCCGCGGUAAUACGUAGGGGGCGAGCGUUAUCCGGAUUUAUUGGGUUUAAAGGGUGCGCAGGCGGCCUGUUAAGUCAGCGGUAAAAGCCCGGGGCUCAACCCCGGCGAGCCGUUGAAACUGGCGGGCUGGAGUUGGAGAGAAGUACGCGGAAUGCGCGGUGUAGCGGUGAAAUGCUUAGAUAUCGCGCAGAACCCCGAUUGCGAAGGCAGCGUACCGGCUCCACACUGACGCUGAGGCACGAAAGCGUGGGUAUCGAACAGGAUUAGAUACCCGAGUAGUC